CCUUACUUGUGUCAAGUUGAGGAUAAAGGAUUGGAAAAUGAUGAUAGUACUUUCCUAUUAGUGUUGUCUAAAUACUGGUGCCAGAAGACUCGGUAAGGCCAGAAACGCUAACGUUAGUAGUCUUAAUCAGGCGUAAAGGGUUCGUAGACUUCUUUGCAUCAUAAUAGUCCCACUACUUCUCAAUUAACUUAAUUUUCCCAGGGAUAAAGAUAAAUAAUUCUAGUACGCAGCCCUCCAAAAGUCGCGCUUGUUUGCUUAUCAUCCUAUAGGUAUUUGUGCUUCUUGUAAGUGGUAGGUUUAUCUGCCUAUUCCGCGGGAAUUUAAAGGUGAAGUAGGGAUAUUUUUUUAAUUAUUGUACAAAGCCUAGUAUUAAUAAAACAAUUCAAGGGCUAUUUUGAUUAAAGCAAAGAUAGAAUCUUAUUCGAGGUAAUCAAAGAAAUACCUUAAGGAGGGAUGAAAUCCAUAGAUCUAAGGUGGGAGACUCAGGGCGAAAGCUAUUUACCUAGUAAAGAUUGACGUUGAGGAACGUAGGUUAGGACCGAAAAAAGGAUUAGAUACCCAAGUAUUCCUAUCUGUUAACGAUGAAUGGUUAGUUAUUCAGUAAA
rnacentral:rRNA from 1 species